rnacentral:rRNA from 1 species
UACGUAGGGUGCAAGCGUUAAUCGGAAUUAUUGGGCGUAAAGAGCUCGUAGGCGGUCUGUUACGUCCGCUGUGAAAACCCAGGGCUUAACCCUGGGCUUGCAGUGGAUACGGGUAGACUAGAGGCAGGUAGGGGAGAAUGGAAUUCCCGGUGUAGCGGUGAAAUGCGCAGAUAUCGGGAGGAACACCGGUGGCGAAGGCGGUUCUCUGGGCCUGACCUGACGCUGAGGAGCGAAAGCGUGGGGAGCGAACAGG